rnacentral:rRNA from 1 species
UACAGAGGUCUCAAGCGUUGUUCGGAUUCAUUGGGCGUAAAGGGCGCGCAGGCGGCUCAUUUUGUCAGGCGUGAAAGCCCCGGGCUUAACCUGGGAACUGCGUUUGAUACGGAUGGGCUAGAGUUCGGGAGAGGUGAGUGGAAUUCCCAGUGUAGCGGUGAAAUGCGUAGAUAUUGGGAGGAACACCAGUGGCGAAGGCGGCUCACUGGACCGGUACUGACGCUGAUGCGCGAAAGCGUGGGGAGCAAACGGG